AACUUAAUUUCCGAACAAUUAUUUCAAACAAAUAAGUUUUCGUGAAUGAUAUCAAAUCAAAUUUCGAAAUCUUUCUAAUUAAUGGCAUUACGAACCGCAGCUAUAAAAGUAAUUGCCAAAAUAAUUUCCCAAAUCAAUAUUGAGCCGUUACUACGACCAGCAACAUGAAGAACAUUUCUUUACUACUUUGCCUUUCGAUAGGAAUUCAGUCUUGCAUUUCUGCAACGGUAGAAGACGCAGAAACGCAAUUAAAAUUCCUUCGAGAGAAAACCUCAAAUAAAUUAGAAACGGCGUUUUUAAACCAGACAAGAAUGUCAAAUGAUAUUGAUGCAACCGCUCUUGCCGCUAAACAAUACGGAAGAAUGGAAAUUGAAAAGAAAACAGACAAAUACAACGCUAAGCUUCAAGCAGACAAAGCUUUAAUAUACAGAUGUCGAGGCUCACGGAAACACAUCUACGAACACACGAAAAACUCAAAUAUCGAAGAUUUAAUUCGCUGCGUUGAUCAACAGGGACGUCAGAGUGUUAACGUUUUGUCAGAGCAAAGACAGGGUUUGCAAAAGUACGUCUGGGACGCGAUUUACGAAGCUGAGAGGCAAAUUAUUGUUUGCGGUCAAUCUAGCAAGUGUCUUGAAGCUGCCGUUGCCGAUAUUAAAGAUAAGAUUGACGAAGUUUCCAAAGUGAUUGAUGCUGAACUUGACAUCAGUCAACAUAAUAAAGAGGUGCAAGUCCAGGUUAUUAAAGCUUGUGCUAGCAAUAGUAUCGCACAUGCUGAGCAAGUUUUCAGUACAAUUCCUACAUGUAACUAUUAAUUAAUUAAGUUUAUCACAAUAAAUUAAUUAUCUUAAU